rnacentral:rRNA from 1 species
ACUCCUACGGGAGGCAGCAGUGGGGAAUAUUGCACAAUGGGCGCAAGCCUGAUGCAGCCAUGCCGCGUGAGUGAUGAAGGCCCUAGGGUUGUAAAACUCUUUCAUCGGUGAAGAUAAUGACGGUAGCCGAAGAAGAAGUCCCGGCUAACUCCGUGCCAGCAGCCGCGGUAAUACGGAGGGGACUAGCGUUGUUCGGAAUUACUGGGCGUAAAGCGCGCGUAGGCGGACUGGUCAGUUGGGGGUGAAAUCCCGAGGCUUAACCUCGGAACUGCCUUCAAUACUGCCAGUCUUGAGUUCGGAAGAGGUGAGUGGAAUUCCUAGUGUAGAGGUGAAAUUCAUAGAUAUUAGGAAGAACACCAGUGGCGAAGGCGACUCACUGGUCCGAUACUGACGCUGAGGUGCGAAAGCGUGGGGAGCGAACAGGAUUAGAUACCCUGGUAGGAUAGCG